rnacentral:rRNA from 1 species
GAUGAACGCUGGCGGCGUGCCUAAUACAUGCAAGUAGAACGCUGAAGGAAGGAGCUUGCUCUUUCCGGAUGAGUUGCGAACGGGUGAGUAACGCGUAGGUAACCUGCCUGGUAGCGGGGGAUAACUAUUGGAAACGAUAGCUAAUACCGCAUAACAGUAGAUGUUGCAUGACAACUAUUUGAAAGGGGCAAUUGCUCCACUACCAGAUGGACCUGCGUUGUAUUAGCUAGUUGGUGAGGUAACGGCUCACCAAGGCGACGAUACAUAGCCGACCUGAGAGGGUGAUCGGCCACACUGGGACUGAGACACGGCCCAGACUCCUACGGGAGGCAGCAGUAGGGAAUCUUCGGCAAUGGACGGAAGUCUGACCGAGCAACGCCGCGUGAGUGAAGAAGGUUUUCGGAUCGUAAAGCUCUGUUGUAAGAGAAGAACGAGUGUGAGAGUGGAAAGUUCACACCGUGACGGUAUCUUACCAGAAAGGGACGGCUAACUACGUG